AGUGAACGCUGGCGGUAGGCCUAACACAUGCAAGUCGAACGGCAGCACAGUAAGAGCUUGCUCUUACGGGUGGCGAGUGGCGGACGGGUGAGGAAUACAUCGGAAUCUACUUUUUCGUGGGGGAUAACGUAGGGAAGCUUACGCUAUUACCGCAUACGACCUACGGGUGAAAGCAGGGGAUCUUCGGACCUUGCGCGAUUGAAUGAGCCGAUGUCGGAUUAGCUAGUUGGCGGGGUAAAGGCCCACCAAGGCGACGAUCCGUAGCUGGUCUGAGAGGAUGAUCAGCCACACUGGAACUGAGACACGGUCCAGACUCCUACGGGAGGCAGCAGUGGGGAAUAUUGGACAAUGGGCGCAAGCCUGAUCCAGCCAUACCGCGUGGGUGAAGAAGGCCUUCGGGUUGUAAAGCCCUUUUGUUGGGAAAGAAAAGCAGCAGGUUAAUACCCCGCUGUUCUGACGGUACCCAAAGAAUAAGCACCGGCUAACUUCGUG
rnacentral:rRNA from 1 species